rnacentral:lncRNA from 1 species
UUCGGAAUACAAACUUAGCUUCAAAACUUUGGAGUCUACAAUCUCGGCUCUCCAACGGUGCGUCGGCGCUCGCUAAUUGUUCGAACCUCGAUGCCGCGACUUGAGCCCAGCAAUCCCUAGAAAUCUGUGGCCCAACCACCGACGGCACAUCGGACUCUCACGACGAUCGACAUAUCUACUUUGGUGGAAGGUCGGCGAUGGCGAUGGGACCCCCCUAAGUUUAAGCCGUGCCCCUUCCUCAGCCAGCACCCGAGCAAGGUGACUGGCUGACUUGCCGACUUGGCUCCG